UACGGAGGUUGCAAGCGUUUGUUCGGAAUUACUGGGCGUAAAGGGGGCGCAGGCGGUUCGCCAAGUUGAAAGUGGAAGCCCGGGGCUCAACCCCGGAUUGUCUUUCAAUACUAGCGAACUUGAGUUUGGGAGAGGAAAGCGGAAUUCCGGGUGUAGCGGUGAAAUGCGUAGAUAUCUGGAGGAACACCGGUGGCGAAGGCGGGUCUCUGGGCAGUAACUGACGCUGAGGAGCGAAAGCGUGGGGAGCGAACAGG
rnacentral:rRNA from 1 species